AACAAAAAUCCAAACUGUGUGAGUUCAUGACUUAGGCCCUGUUUGUUUGUCCAUCCACAUGAUCCAUCCAAAUGGAGAUGAAAAAUGAUGUUUGUUUUUGACAAUUUAACAAGCAUUUGGAUGGAUCAUCUGGAUGAUACAUCUGAAUGAGUAUCUAAAUUUAGGCAAAUUUAUGAAACUCAUUUGGAUGAAUUUGAUUAAACCAUUUGGAUGGAGAUGUUUCAUCCAAAAAUAACAAAAAACUAAUAUACCCUCAUUUAUAGUCAUAAUUUAAAU
rnacentral:sRNA from 1 species